AACGGGAUUAGAUACCCUGGUAGUCCACGCUGUAAACGAUGUCGAUUUGGAGGUUGUGCCCUUGAGGCGUGGCUUCCGGAGCUAACGCGUUAAAUCGACCGCCUGGGGAGUACGGCCGCAAGGUUAAAACUCAAAUGAAUUGACGGGGGCCCGCACAAGCGGUGGAGCAUGUGGUUUAAUUCGAUGCAACGCGAAGAACCUUACCUACUCUUGACAUCCAGAGAACUUUCCAGAGAUGGAUUGGUGCCUUCGGGAACUCUGAGACAGGUGCUGCAUGGCUGUCGUCAGCUCGUGUUGUGAAAUGUUGGGUUAAGUCCCGCAACGAGCGCAACCCUUAUCCUUUGUUGCCAGCGGUUCGGCCGGGAACUCAAAGGAGACUGCCAGUGAUAAACUGGAGGAAGGUGGGGAUGACGUCAAGUCAUCAUGGCCCUUACGAGUAGGGCUACACACGUGCUACAAUGGCAUAUACAAAGAGAAGCGACCUCGCGAGAGCAAGCGGACCUCAUAAAGUAUGUCGUAGUCCGGAUUGGAGUCUGCAACUCGACUCCAUGAAGUCGGAAUCGCUAGUAAUCGUAGAUCAGAAUGCUACGGUGAAUACGUUCCCGGGCCUUGUACACACCGCCCGUCACACCAUGGGAGUGGGUUGCAAAAGAAGUAGGUAGCUUAACCUUCGGGAGGGCGCUUACCACUUUGUGAUUCAUGACUGGGGUGAAGUCGUAACAAGGUACCAAGGGCGAA
rnacentral:rRNA from 1 species